rnacentral:rRNA from 1 species
CCUACGGGGGGCAGCAGUAGGGAAUAUUGCUCAAUGGGGGAAACCCUGAAGCAGCAACGCCGCGUGGAGGAUGAAGGUUUUCGGAUUGUAAACUCCUUUUGUUAGAGAAGAUAAUGACGGUAUCUAACGAAUAAGCACCGGCUAACUCCGUGCCAGCAGCCGCGGUAAUACGGAGGGUGCAAGCGUUACUAGGAAUCACUGGGCGUAAAGAGCGCGUAGGCGGGAUAGCAAGUCAGAUGUGAAAUCCUAUGGCUAAACCAUAGAACUGCAUUUGAAACUGUUAUUCUAGAGAAUGGGAGAGGUAGGUGGAAUUCUUGGUGUAGGGGUAAAAUCCGUAGAGAUCAAGAGGAAUACUCAUUGCGAAGGCGACCUGCUAGAACAUAACUGACGCUGAUGCGCGAAAGCGUGGGGAGCAAACAGGAUUAGAUACCCCGGUAGUC